GAUGAACGCUGGCGGCGUGCCUAAUACAUGCAAGUCGAGCGAACAGACGAGGAGCUUGCUCCUUUGACGUUAGCGGCGGACGGGUGAGUAACACGUAGGUAACCUACCUAUAAGACUGGGAUAACUUCGGGAAACCGGAGCUAAUACCGGAUAAUAUUUCGAACCGCAUGGUUCGAUAGUGAAAGAUGGCUUUGCUAUCACUUAUAGAUGGACCUGCGCCGUAUUAGCUAGUUGGUAAGGUAACGGCUUACCAAGGCAACGAUACGUAGCCGACCUGAGAGGGUGAUCGGCCACACUGGAACUGAGACACGGUCCAGACUCCUACGGGAGGCAGCAGUAGGGAAUCUUCCGCAAUGGGCGAAAGCCUGACGGAGCAACGCCGCGUGAGUGAUGAAGGUCUUCGGAUCGUAAAACUCUGUUAUUAGGGAAGAACAAACGUGUAAGUAACUGUGCACGUCUUGACGGUACCUACUCAGAAAGCCACGGCUAACUACGUG
rnacentral:rRNA from 1 species